rnacentral:lncRNA from 1 species
UAUAAACAGUGUAAAUAUAUACAAAUUGUAAAAUACAUGUGAUAUAUAAAAGGUAAAAUUAUGCAUUUUUUCUCAUUCGUCAUAGGAAGUCAUUUCAGUAGGAGCGUAGUGUGUCCCAAUUCACACCAUUAUGUGUGCCAUUUUUUAAGUAUAAAUUGAGUAGUGUGUUGACAAUGAAAAUUUCUAAAAAGGAAAGUGCACUUCAAAAACCCAGAUGAUGAUCUGAAAAACUCAAUGUGGACAGCAUUCAACUGACUCCGAUGUUGGAUGACAAGUGUUAAAAUUCACAUCCCAGACGUUAAGUGUAUCAGACAUCAAAACUGCCCUUCAGUUUGUAUAAUUUUGUGAUUUUAAACUUCUACUUUAAAACUGUGGACAAACAGCAGUUUUUGUUUUAUCAUGUAACUUCCAUAUUUUACAUUUUUUUUUCACAAAUGUAUACAUGUACUAUAUUGUUUCAGUUUGGUGAAGAAAAACUGGGCACGAUGUGGAAAUGUUCCAACGACAAAAUAUUGCACUAAAUUAAAAGUUCAAAUGUUACAAAUAAAUUACAAUAUUGAUAUUGCAAUACUGGUAGCACUAAUAUAACAGUUUUGGGAUAUUAUUUUUAUAAAACAAUUUUGUGUUACAAUAAAGUAACAGUUUUGAAAUACGCUGAUGGUUGCUAAUUUUUCUUUUUUGGGUCCUCUUCUAUCUCAGUAUUACUAUGAGUGUUGUAAGGGUUUUUAAGCAUAAUAAUAACCCUAGAAUGUGAUCAAAACCUGAGUCGGAGAUUUUCUUUUUUUUUUGGGUUCCUCUUCUAUCUCAGUAUUACUAUGAGUGUUGUAAGGGUUUUUAAGCAUAAUAAUAACCCUAGAAUGUGAUCAAAACGGUUUAAAAUAUCCGGGCUGACUGCAGACCGACCACAAAACACAAUGUUUUCAGACUUUUCCAAAAAAUGUUCCAAAAAAUAAUACAUUUUUUUCAAAGGGUUACUAAUAACACAACUUUUGGAUAUUUUCAUGUCUGGGAAAAAUGUGUGAUUUAACAGGUUAAUAAGUCGAUGCUCAUUCUUCUGAUUUCACGAGAGCUCUCGUUUAGGGAACAUUAAGCUGUAUAACAUUAUUCAUACAGCACAGUUACACCAGUUACAUCAGUACUUCACAGGUGAGACGCCACUGUAGCGCAAUAGCGAUGCACUGCAACUGUGAUGCUUAAAAAAGAUUCAAACACGUCUCUGUAGGCAGCACGCGACAUUAUUAGAAGAACACAACCAGAGUCUGAACUUUAGCACAGCGGCUAAUAAACACAGUUUACACGGUGAACUUACAGCAGACGGACCCGACCGCAGACAGACCAGCAUAUGCUCGCGGAUUAGACUGAUCCGUGUUUAGAGGAGAGAGAGAGAGAGAGAGAGAGGAGAUGAUCAGAUGAUUUGAAAUGCACCUCUGUUCUUCAAAAUAAACAAACACGACUCUCAUUGGCCAGCCUGUUGUCAAGCAACCAGCAACUCGCCGUUUGAUUGGCUGGAUCGUCUGUAACAACACGCAACAGGUGUUCAGCGUCUUCUUGCAUAAUAUAAAUAUAGACAUUUGACUGAUUUCUCGAUUUACUAACAGUCCUUUACCUAAAUAAGG